UAUCAAUUAAGCGGAGGAAAAGAAACCAACAGGGAUUGCCCUAGUAACGGCGAGUGAAGCGGCAACAGCUCAAAUUUGAAAUCUGGCUCUUUUAGAGUCCGAGUUGUAAUUUGCAGAGGGCGCUUUGGCUUUGGCAGCGGUCCAAGUUCCUUGGAACAGGACGUCACAGAGGGUGAGAAUCCCGUACGUGGUCGCUGGCUAUUGCCGUGUAAAGCCCCUUCGACGAGUCGAGUUGUUUGGGAAUGCAGCUCUAAAUGGGAGGUACAUUUCUUCUAAAGCUAAAUAUUGGCCAGAGACCGAUAGCGCACAAGUAGAGUGAUCGAAAGAUGAAAAGCACUUUGGAAAGAGAGUCAAACAGCACGUGAAAUUGUUGAAAGGGAAGCGCUUGCAGCCAGACUUGCUUACAGUUGCUCAUCCGGGUUUCUACCCGGUGCACUCUUCUGUAGGCAGGCCAGCAUCAGUUUGGGCGGUAGGAUAAAGGUCUCUGUCACGUACCUCCUUUCGGGGAGGCCUUAUAGGGGAGACGACAUACUACCAGCCUGGACUGAGGUCCGCGCAUCUGCUAGGAUGCUGGCGUAAUGGCUGUAAGCGGCCCGUCUUGAA
rnacentral:rRNA from 1 species